GCUAGAGAGAAAACUGAUCUGGGAAUAACUAUUCAAAACUAGUUAUGGCAAUGCAGAUUUCUAAGAAAACAACAUUUCACAAGAGUGAGAAGAAAAAAUGGUAAGAUACUGAAAAAUACUCAAUCUUAAAGUCUGCCUAAUCUCAGUUGCUACUCACUUUAGAUAUACUGAUCUCAACCCACAGAAGGAAUUUUUUUUAAAAGAAGGUACUGUACUAACUUUUUACAUUACAAAAUCUGGCUCAGUUGCAAUCCAGACAUCCAACAGAGCAGGUCUCCUUUGGACUCCUUGGGAAUGGAUUUUUACCACAGAGAAGAAAUGAGUAGAGAGCUCAAGCUGGCUUUUCUCCUUCUGUGGAGACUUGUACUUGCUCCAGGGCUGCUCAUGGACCCCAGGGCCCACUGUUCGCUCCUGUUCCCACCAUCCUCUGAACCAUUGGAGACUGUGCAUUGCUCAGGAAGACAUUCUGGAUUUGGAGAGCUGGUGCUUCUGGUGACAUUGAGAAAUCUCUCAGCUGCCUGGCUAGCUACCUUCCAAGAAUCUGCUAACAUGUGCUAACAAAAAUCAAGAUCUCUCCUGAAACUGAAGCACACAGAACAGUGCCUAAAAUCAAUUUGUAUUGUAGUUUGAAAUCAUCUUUAACAACCCAGACAAAUGCAAAUGCAUGCAAUCAGUUUAUAUAUGCAAGAUUGUGUCAGUAGCAUGCAUUAUGCUUUCAAUAGAACUAUCAGGGAUGUGAACAGUUUUUGAUGUUAAGUUUACAAAGUUGUUUAAUAAUUUCUAUUCAUGAGUAUUCAAAUAAAACAGACUAUAUACAAAACA
rnacentral:lncRNA from 1 species